CUCGUAGGCGGUUCAGUAAGUCGGGUGUGAAAACUUCGGGCUUAACCCGAAGCCUGCAUCCGAUACUGCUGUGACUUGAGUCCGGUAGGGGAGUGGGGAAUUCCUGGUGUAGCGGUGAAAUGCGCAGAUAUCAGGAGGAACACCGGUGGCGAAGGCGCCACUCUGGGCCGGUACUGACGCUGAGGAGCGAAAGCGUGGUAGCAAACA
rnacentral:rRNA from 1 species